rnacentral:tRNA from 8 species
GCCCCUGUGGUGGAAUUGGUAGACGCGCUGCACUCAAAAUGCAGUUCCGCAAGGAGUGCCCGUUCGAGUCGGGCCAGGGGCACCA